UUGCUUCUCAGACCGUUCUGCAACAAGAAAGCUAGUGAUUUGUGACUGGAAACUGGCACUUCCAGUCAACCCAAGAUGCUUAAAUGCAGGAGGCUUCAUCUCUGAAGGAUAAAGUGACUGCUGUAGAUAGGCAUUUUGAACGAAUUUGUGAGUCCUGGAUUGGUCAGUUAGAUUUCAGCCAUAGGUUCUGUCAGAAUAAGUGGGAAUGAUGAUUUUUGAGGUUUCAAAUGGAUGAUACAGUGUGCUUCUAGAUGACAGCAGUAUCGGAUUAGCAUAUCUUAAUGGAAUGAUUUUAUCUCUUAGCUAACUCCUCUUUUGUGAAGACUGAAGAGGGAUUGAGGAAAUACCUUUAUUAGUUCAAUUACAAAGAAGUGACAAGAAGAUGGAGAAUCUAUUUCCACAUUGAAACCUGCAUGACCUAAUGUUAGGAAUGAGUAUUCAUGAAUGAGUGACAUAAAAUUGUACAGAUACACGUGACAUAAAAUUGUACAGAUACGCAGCAAGUCUCUUUGUGAAAAAUCCACUCUGUGAAAUUUCGUCAGCAUUUAUUCCACUUUGUUAUAAUGUAUUCAAUAUUGCGUGGUAUCAUAUGGUGUUAGUUAUUUA